rnacentral:lncRNA from 1 species
GUCAAUGUUUUUCUUCCACUUUAUUUCCUUAGAAAUAUGACUAACCAUUUUUUUCUCCCCAGGUUUUGUGAAAUCAAUUUGCAAUUGAGAUGCGUUUCUGCGAUCCCAGCAGUGCCGGCUCUGGCAUCGCUGCUCUCACGGAGCACCAUAUGCUUCCUUCUGUUUGUUUGCUGCCUUCCCAACGCUCCCAGAUCAUCUCAUUGGUACCUGCUGACACGUGCUCCCCAGCUGCAAACGGCCAACCCCGCCCUGGCACCUCAGCUGCCAUCCUGCUCAGUACCAGGGGUGACAGCUUGCAGCAGAAAUGCAAAGCCACAGCUUGAAGCAGUGAUGGAACACCUGGUGAGAAGGCAGGGCCAACCUGGAGGAGCUCAGCUGUGUGCAAUGUACUGAGUGAUGGAGGGGCUGGAGCAGGAUCCACCCCUUCCCAGCCCUCAUUUAAGGACUGAAAGUGGAGAUGAGGGUAUUUUGUUGGAGAUACCUGUGUACCUGAGGCCUUCUGAAGGUAAGUGGCCUUUUUGCUUUUGUUUUUCUGCCUAUGGUUGCUGCCUUGAGUGUAUCCUCAUCUGCUGUAGCCAAGAUCUUUGCUACUCUGCUCUCAUUGCUGUGUUUUCUAUCGUGUUACGCAGCUGCAGAAUGCUGUUGUCCUCAGGACCCUCUCACUGUGCAGUCUGGGAAAUACAGCAUGAAAGCUGCUUUUAGGGUUUGACUAUGGCAAUAAAAGUGAAAGAUAUUGUGAG